UCUUAACUGUCGCUGUUUUCCAGAAGCACAAGGCUCAGGUGAAGUUCAGUAUUUUCAAACUGAAUGAAAGCAAAUGUGCUGCAGUCUCUCAAGUGUGAGUACCCUGCUCUGCCUCUGCCUCUCCUGGAGCCUUACAGUGUCUCCCCCCUCUCAUUAUAUGUAUGUGUGUGUGUGUGUGUGUAUAUAUGCGUGUAUGUACGCUUACUUACAUGUGUGUGAGUGUACCUUCAAUAUAUCAACUAUAUCAGCCAAUGUUCUCUUCAAAGAAAGACUGUUCCCGCUUUCUCUCCCUGCCUCUGCUCUUUAUUUGUGACCUGCUUGAAGAACUAAAGAGAGAAGACAGAAAUUGCCACAGGGGAGAAUUGCCUUUAAGGUGACUGGACUUUAAAACUUGCAGCAUAAAUACUACGCUGCAGCCUUCCCAGCAGAACUGCAAAUGUGAGAAGGAGUGAAAACAAAGAAGCUUCUGUGCACUGGGGAUGCCAGAAGCCACUAAUUGUCAUCUCAGAUUGGAUAUCAAACAGCUCAUACAUAGAAGUGCUGCUAUAUCCCUGAGUUUGUAAUCCUGGGACACCCCAAAUACCUGGAAGUCAACAUCAGCUGAAGUGCGGCAUACCCAGAACCUUCCUUUGUUGAAGACGAGAAACUGUUCACCGACUUCCGUAGUCAUUUAUCUGCCUCUCUAAACCAUGUUGCCUCUGCACCUUUGCUCUCUGCAGUGAUUCCACAACCACAACCUUUGGGGCUGUUUUUUUUUUUCUCACUUUGUAUAUUAGCCUAGAAUCAGUUCUCUGGGGCGCUUUAAUGACCGUGAUUCCUCAUUAUACCCUUCAGUACAUAAUAAGUGACUGAUAAGGGAGGAAGCUUUUAAAUGAGAACCUCACCAGCUUCUGCACUUAAUCAUCAUUGUGUGGAUUUCAGGACUAAUGCGGGACUACUGUUUAUUUAUGAGAACUCCCUAAGUACCAACAACAUUUGAACCAAGAAGCUGAGCCUUUAAUUCUGUCUUCCUAAUGAAACUGAAUAGUCUGUCUCCUAGGGAGGGGAUCUUGCUGACUGUCAGGUCUGCCAUGUUCAGGAGUCCAAGCACAAUUCUGUAAAGCCCCCUUUUCCUAUCCCUCGGUUGAAAUGCUUCCAAUUAUCAAAGUCCAUAUUUCUAACAACAGCUCUCUCUCCUGUUGAGCUUUUCCUGAUCACUGUCCCUCAGAGAUUUCUUCUCUAAAUCUGCAAAGCUUUUGUAUCAGUUUGCCUUUUAGACCAGUGCCCCCACAUACAUGCUCCCUAGGUUGUAAGCUGUUUGAAGGCAGGGGCUUCAACCAAAAGCAUUUAAGUUUUCACGGGAUGUUCUGUGUGUUGAAUUUAACGUUAACUGAAUGCAGAUGGUCCCCGAGAGCCACACACUUCAAUCCCAGCCCUCCCAAGGGCUGUCUCAGCAAGUCAGGAAAAUGUAUUUCUCAUGUUUGAGCUGCUAUUUCCAUCAACUGGGUUGGGUCUUCUUGCCGCCAAGACAAUAAUAAACAUGUACCCAAAACUUACAAAGUGAGAGAGACUUUGUAUCUGAAGGAACUGCACUCCCAAGCGUGUAAAUGUGUGAAAAUCGCUGAAGAGAGCAAAGGAUGCAUGUUGGCUACUGUAUAGAGGGGCUUAUUUAUUUAUGUAUGCAGUCGUUU